UACGAGGGGGGGCGAGCGUUUGUUCGGAAUUAUUGGGCGUAAAGGGUGCGUAGGCGGUUUGGUAAGUCUGAUGUGAAAUCUAUGGGCUCAACUCAUAGUCUGCAUCGGAAACUGCCGGGUUGAGUGUGGGAGAGGUGAGUGGAAUUCCUGGUGUAGCGGUGAAAUGCGUAGAUAUCAGGAGGAACACCUGUGGCGAAAGCGGCUCACUGGACCAUAACUGACGCUGAUGCACGAAAGCUAGGGGGAGCAAACAGG
rnacentral:rRNA from 1 species